rnacentral:rRNA from 1 species
CUUGGCGACCAUAGCGUUUUGGACCCACCUGAUUCCAUUCCGAACUCAGAAGUGAAACGAAAUAGCGCCGAUGGUAGUGUGGGGCUUCCCCAUGU